rnacentral:rRNA from 1 species
UACGGGGGGAGCAAGCGUUUGUUCGGAUUUACUGGGCGUAAAGGGCGCGUAGGCGGCCUGUGCAAGUCAGUUGUGAAAUCUCCGAGCUUAACUCGGAACGGUCAACUGAUACUGCUCGGCUAGAGUGCGGAAGGGGCAACUGGAAUUCUUGGUGUAGCGGUGAAAUGCGUAGAUAUCAAGAGGAACACCUGCGGCGAAAGCGACCUGCUGGACCUCUUCUGACGCUGAGGCGCGAAAGCUAGGGGAGCAAACGGG